GUGCGAUCGCCCGCGAGGGCGGUCACGAAGCCCUGACGAGUAGGAGGGUCGCGGCGGUGAGCGCAGAAGGGCUGGCCGCGAGGCCGUCUGGAGCCGCCGUCGGUGCAGAUCUUGGUGGUAGUAGCAAAUACUCCAGCGAGGCCCUGGAGGACUGACGUGGAGAAGGGUUUCGUGUGAACAGCCGUUGCACACGAGUCAGUCGAUCCUAAGCCCUAGGCGAAAGCCGAUGUCGAUGCGGUGUAGUUUUUACCAAAUAUAUAUAUAUAUUAUUUAUAUGUACGUAUAGAGCGAGAACACACCCGUCGGGCGAAAGGGAAUCCGGUUCCUAU
rnacentral:rRNA from 1 species